rnacentral:rRNA from 1 species
GAUGAACGCUGGCGGCGUGCCUAAUACAUGCAAGUCGAGCGAACAGAUGAGGAGCUUGCUCCUCUGACGUUAGCGGCGGACGGGUGAGUAACACGUGGAUAACCUACCUAUAAGACUGGGAUAACUUCGGGAAACCGGAGCUAAUACCGGAUAAUAUAUUGAACCGCAUGGUUCAAUAGUGAAAGACGGUUUUGCUGUCACUUAUAGAUGGAUCCGCGCCGCAUUAGCUAGUUGGUAAGGUAACGGCUUACCAAGGCAACGAUGCGUAGCCGACCUGAGAGGGUGAUGGGCCCAACUGGAACUGGGACCCGGCCCAGACCCCUAGGGGGGGCAGCAGGAGGGAAUCUUCCGAAAUGGGCGAAAGCCGAACGGGACAACGCCGGGGGGGGGAAGAAGGGUUUCGGAUCGUAAAACUUUGUUAUUAGGGAAAAAAAAAUGUGUAAGUAACUAUGCACGUCUUGACGGUACCAAAGAAAAAAGCCACGGCUAACUACGU